AUCCAACUGACGAGUCCCAAAUUGGAUGAAAUGCAUCUCCUGGAU
rnacentral:hammerhead_ribozyme from 1 species